rnacentral:rRNA from 1 species
GACGAACGCUGGCGGCGUGCUUAACACAUGCAAGUCGAACGGAGAGCGCUCUUCGGAGUGACUCGAGUGGCGAACGGGUGAGUAACACGUGGGUGAUCUGCCCUGCACUUUGGGAUAAGCCUGGGAAACUGGGUCUAAUACCGGAUAGGACUACGGCCUGCAUGGGUUGUGGUGGAAAGCUUUUGCGGGGUGGGAUGGGCCCGCGGCCUAUCAGCUUGUUGGUGGGGUGAUGGCCUACCAAGGCGACGACGGGUAGCCGGCCUGAGAGGGUGUCCGGCCACACUGGGACUGAGAUACGGCCCAGACUCCUACGGGAGGCAGCAGUGGGGAAUAUUGCACAAUGGGCGCAAGCCUGAUGCAGCGACGCCGCGUGAGGGAUGACGGCCUUCGGGUUGUAAACCUCUUUCAGCAUCGACGAAGCGCAAGUGACGGUAGAUGCAGAAGAAGCACCGGCCAACUACGUGCCAGCAGCCGCAGUAACAC